GGCUACGUAGCUCAGCUGGUCAGAGCGCACGACUCAUAAUCGUGAGGUCGGUGGUUCAAUCCCACCCGUAGCCACCA
rnacentral:tRNA from 1 species